GGCCCUUUGCAAGCGUUUUUCAAAAACGCUUUGUUUGACUUUUAAUCAAGGUGUCCGGGGUUCGAAUCCCCGAUGGAUCACCA
rnacentral:tRNA from 1 species